rnacentral:lncRNA from 1 species
UGCUACCAUCCCUGACAUAUUCUUUGUAGGAAGAGAAUUGGUGCAGACUCUUACGGAAGACCUUCUGCCGCCACACUACAUGUACCAUGUGAACCAAGAGCCAUAUUUCAGAUGAAUUGCAGAGCUAAUGCAAGUGGCUGUGGUCAAGAGGAUGUGGGUGCUUGUGUCUGACAAGUUUCCACAGGCACUCACAUGCCUGACAGUGUCCCAGGAGACAGAACUGGGACAAUGGGGAAGGUCACAGGCCAGCCUUGGAUCUGAGUGGGAAGAGGCAAAAGAUCCCCAGGGUGCCUGUCAAGACAGCUCCAGUGAGUAGGAAGCUGAUCCUGCUGAGAAAGCUCCACCAAGGAGACUGAGGAAGGUUCCUGCUUUUGUGCACAGGCUAAAAUCACUGCCCUUGGAUCCAGGCUGGUUUUAAGGCUUGCUGUGAGCAUCCCUUUGGUGGCUG